UAACUAGUGAAGAGAUUUGAUAUCACUUCACUAAACUAUUUUACUUGUUUAGAUUUCAAGAAUCCAUCGAUGGAACAACAAUCCCAUGACUCUAUAUAUGGUGAUUCAGGGGUAGGUUAUUCUACUAUGCGAUCAGCCGAGGAAACAGAGAUGCAAAUGCUUGCAUCAGCAGGUGAUCCCAUGAUGCCAUAAAGUAACUAAAGGGACAACCUCUUACAUUGAAAUAUGGAACCACUUUGUUAAGUGUACAGAAGUAUGUAAAGAGAAAUUUUAAAACCCAGUUCUUGGUUGACUGGUAGAAUAAGCAAGGACCCCUUUUUUCAGCCAAAAAGGCGCUAUGUAUUAGAAUUUAGAUGAGGGUUCAGAAACUUGAUGCACUGGCACUGGCUGCCCAGGUUGGCUUUGGUUAAAUUUGCCUUCUCUAGUGGCAGUUUCUGGUCAAAAUUUUUAAGUGAUAGCAAACUCCUGAGAAACUCUAUUAAACCAUUUUGAGAGCAAUGAUUCCCCUUUUGUUGUGUG